UCGAGCGGCCAAAGCGAGAGGGAUCACCUGUUCCCAUUUCGAACACAGAAGUUAAAACUCUCCACGGUCUGGGAAUUACUGCCGAAUAGGUGGGAAAUCCAGAACGCUGCCCUCU
rnacentral:rRNA from 1 species